rnacentral:tRNA from 11 species
GCCCUCAUAGCUCAGUAGGCAGAGCGCAUCCAUGGUAAGGAUGAGGUCACCAGUUCGAUUCUGGUUGGGGGCUCCA